ACACACACACCCACACACACACACACACACACCCACACACACACUCACACACACACACACCCACUCACACACACACACACACACACACACACACACACACACACACACACACACACACACACACACACACACACAGGGGAGAGACAUUAUUUAUUCUCUGUAAACGCUGACGCUGAGAGGACCCUCCCGCGCUGCUGACGGGGACAGCAGUGGGCGGCGGCUUCCAGUGGUGGGGCGGAGGCAAACCCGUUGUCGUCAUGGUAACAAGAAGGCUGGUCCAAUCCCUGCGCACCACGUGUCCAGUUUUGUCCACAUGGUGGAGUGAGACGUAUCACUGCUGUGGUUCGCCAGACCCAGGUCCUUCAAUAAGGAAGUGAAGGGUUCUCCUCCAAUCAGACGCGGCUCAGCUGGUGAGCUGCAGAGUGAGAGGAAGUGGCAGCUGACAGAGCUCACGCUGGAGAUUUGAGCGAGGCCUUGUAUCGAUGUGUGCACAUGUAGACCAGGGAUGAAAAACAAGGGGUCAGCACUGGUGCCAUGAUCAGGGUGCUUGCACUGCUUCAGUAUGUAUCCUGCUGUAUGAAUGGAUGCAGUGUAAAAAAACUAAAGCUGUGUAGGUUUUGCUGCAUAAGAGCUAAAUGACUGUAUUGCAUUUAUAAAGAUUAACUGAAUUAGGCG